rnacentral:rRNA from 1 species
UACGGAGGGUGCGAGCGUUGUCCGGAAUCAUUGGGCGUAAAGGGCGCGUAGGUGGCCCGGUCAGUCUUUGGUGAAAGCGCGGGGCUCAACCCUGCGUCGGCCAGGGAUACUGCCGCGGCUGGAGCACUGUAGAGGCAGGCGGAAUUCCGGGUGUAGCGGUGGAAUGCGUAGAGAUCCGGAAGAACACCGGUGGCGAAGGCGGCCUGCUGGGCAGUUGCUGACGCUGAGGCGCGACAGCGUGGGGAGCAAACAGG